ensembl:snRNA U6 U6 spliceosomal RNA
GUGCUCACUUAAGCAGCACAUAUACUAACAUCUGAACAAUACAGAGAAGAUUAGCAUGACCCCUAUGCAAGGACGAUGCAAAAUUCAUAAAGCAUUCCAUAUUUUG